AUACUUACUUGGCAAAUAAAAUUCCCAUCUAAUUAUUUAUUGAAUACUAUUUCAACACGGCUUAGUAAUUUCGUUCUCCCGUGGCUUAGGAAAUUUUUCUUUAAAUACCGGAUCUAUUUAGCGGCAGCCCAUAAGUUUAAUUAUUAGAAACAAAAGCCCAGAUUCACUGCUGUGGCCCAAAUCUUUAUAUCUCAUUUUUCUUAUGUGUCUGGCCCAACUAAAAUAAAAUGGGGCAAGGCCCAAAUUUCUACCCCAUCUCCACCGGCUUCUCUCUGCCUCAUUCUCAAAUUUUUCCCCCAAAUCGAAAGGAACCCUAGUCCUUCGCUUCCUCUCUUCCUCGGCGUCAAUCUCCGCCCGUCGGUCCGCCUCGCACCGUCUCAACGCCAGGCCGGCGGUACCUCCGUCGCCACUCCCGGUUGUAUCAAGCCCCCUCCAUUUCGGUAAAGUCCCCAAAUUGGGAAGGUACCCUAAGUGAGAGGGAUUUCCGAUUUGUCGCCUCCCUCUGAGCUUCACCGUCAAAUCGACGCCGGUCACUACCACUGCCGUUUCUCGGUGGCCUGGCCGAUUCGCCAACGUAGCUGGAGGAAAAAAGGGGACGUCUCUCAGCCGCUGCUGCUGGUUCGCCGAUUCACCACCAUGGGAAUCACGCGGCCGAACAGCAACGUCGAGUAGGUGCCUCGCCGUCACUGCUCUGCCGUCUCCUCAACGUCUUCUACCUUAGCUAUUUAGGUGUUUUCUUUAAGUAGGGUUUGUUCUUGUCCCUCUUAUUUUGAUUUAGGCAGAUUGUAUUCGUUCUUCAAGGAAACGGCAGUAGCUUGUCUAGAGCUUUUAGAUUUGUAUGAAAUUCUUGAUUGGGGGUCUAUUUGUGCGAAGGAUUGAGGAAGCUUAGGGGUUUAAGUUGUUAUAGCCACUGAUGUCUAUUUGUUUACUAAACAUGAGGCCAUUUCUAGUAGAGUUCAAGGGGUUGCUAUGCAUAUACUUUAUGUUGUGUUGCUCUAUGACUUAUCAUGCUGUGACUUAUAAUAUGAGGGUCUACUAAAUGAUGGCGUGACAUCUUAACCGAGUUUGAAACGGGAGCGGAGGUUACCUUUCUUGAACCUCUCUGCGUCCGGCUUCUUGCCUCUGUCUCUAUCACUGAUUUGCAAAUGGUUUCUGUCACCAACUCGGCCCCUCUCUCACCCCCUUAGCUCAUUGUCUUGUAUUUGAUUUGUGGUGAUGAAGGGGUAUGGCCGAGGUUAUCGGUAUUUAUAGAGGAUAUGUAACUGAAAGCUGUAAAAGCUUGUUGUUUUGGCUGCAAAAAGGGGCCUUAAGGCUGCUCCUAUGUUGGCUGCCCUUCCUGCAGUUUGCAGGCUGUGUACUCGUGAGAUAGAUGAGCCUGCGGCUCUUUGAUAUGUUCUGAUUGGUAACUGAAGUUGGUGCUUUAUUCUGGUAUCCUCUUGCUGCACAUUUUUAACCGCAAUUGGCUCUAUGUGGCUGUUUCUUUGAGGCCAGCACCGAGGUGUACUUGUGGAUUAAAUGCUGCUGCUCCCUCAAUUGUACCCCACUGCAGGGAUCCCUCCCCUCUCCUUUAUUUUGCAGCACCUUUAACUAAAUUUGCAGGCGUAUAAUACUGCCUGAUGAGCUGCCAAAAGUAGUCUUGCAGGGUUGCAGUUUCUGGGGGGUGAAGAGCCGGCCGAACUUGCUUCUUCAGCUCAAGCAAAUUUCCCAUUUUUUUGGAAGGGCGGCCUAUUUUCCUCUGGCUGCAGUCUCUCUAACUCAGCCUAUUGGACCUCCGAAGAUCUGGGCCGCACACUUGUGGUAAAGAGGCCCAAAGCUAGUAGUUCCUUCUUGUUAAAUGAUAGAGUUUCUAUUUGUAGUUACAUGUUGUAACAUGUAGGAAAAGUCUACUCAUAGUUAUCUUAUUUCCUUCCCUUUAUUUUCAUUGUCAAGCAUUUAUAAACUUAAGACUUAGCUCGAGAUGUAUACCUCGUAUCUCGUUUACUUAAGAAAUCAACGAAUACUCUUUUGUUCUCA